GAUUAAUGCUAGCGGUGCGCCUAAUACAUGCAAGUCGAGCGAGGCUUCGAGCCGAGCGGCGAACGGCUGAGUAACACGUUGGAACAUGCCCCGAACUCAGGGAUAACUCAUCGAAAGAUGAGCUAAUACCGGAUAGUCCCGCAAGGGUAAGCUUUUGCGGUUCGGGAGUGGCCUGCGGUCUAUCAGCUAGUUGGUAAGGUAAAAGCUUACCAAGGCUAUGACGGAUAGCUGGUGUGAGAGCACGACCAGUCAGAAUGGAACUGAGACACGGUCCAUACUCCUACGGGAGGCAGCAGU
rnacentral:rRNA from 1 species